CCCCGGCCCCCCCCCCCCCGGAGCCCCCGGAGCCCCCGCCGCGGGCCCCUCCCCCCAGACCUUCGCCUGCCGGCAAUAAACUCCUCUCGGCCCCGGGGCGCCUCGAUGGGGCGCCCCGGAGCCCGGGGUCGCGGCCUUCCUGGGCACCCACGGUGCCCCUGGGCUGUUCGCAACUCCGCCUCGACCUCCAUGUCAGGGUAAGGACGGGGCUCUGAAGGCCAGGUGCCGCCCGGCAGAUAGCCCUGCGUGAGGACCAGGGGGGCACCAUCCUAGAGGCGGCCCCCACCCCACCCCACCCCACCCCACCCCCGCGGGCCACAACUUUGCCCAGACCCCUCGCCACAGCCACGCCUGCUUCUUCACUUCGGUCUUCACAGCACCAAGGAUUCAGGCACGUCGGGGCUCCCGGAAAAGGGUGGUUUCCUGUCACCCCGCACCUGGGCCUGCAGGCACCUUGCUGGCUGAGGAGGCUGCUGGGGCCAGGACGCGGUACAGUCCUCCAGGGGCACCUCCUAGGGAGCCCAGCGGUCCUACUACACAGAGAGGAGAUGGUGACACAGAAUGGAGAGACUUGUCCCAAGUCACUUAGGUACUGAUGUUCACCCCCUCAGUGACCAUCCCAGACUGGGAGACCCAAGGAUCGGUUGAGGCAGGCGGCCCCAGAGCAACCCUUGCCCCCUCCAGGAGGCCAUCUGGGUGAUGGGCCUAGAUCUGUGAAGAGAUGAGAUCCCAUUUCCCCCGCUCGGGGGCCUCUAGUCUACUGACAGAGACAAAGCAAUAAUCAAAUAAACCGUUAUAAUACAGUAUAAUGCCAGUAGUGAUGUGUUCUAGAGAGAAAAAUCAUUAGUAUGUCUGUGAGUGAGGGGACGUGGUGGAUAAUCCAGAUCAGUAGGUCAGGGAGGGGCUGGCUGCCUGAGGAGCAGACAGUGGAGCCAAGACAAGGAAGUGAAGGCUUGAGCAAUGCAGAAGGAACAGCCGUGCAAGGGCCCUGAGGCAGCAAUCAGCAAGUGCUAUUCCAGCACUAGCUGGACCAGAGUUGGGCGAGUGGGGUAGGGGGUAAAACCUGAGGGAUAAGAGAUGGGAGCAGGUGGGUGGGGAGUUUGAACUUUAUCCAAGGUGUGGUAUGUAAAUUGGAAGGCUUUUAGCAGGGGCAUAAUGUGGCCUGACUCUUGGAAAAUAACACUCUGAUUAUUUCAGGGAUAAGAAUCUUAUUUGGGGCGCCUGGGUGGCUCAGUCAGUUGAACGUUUGACUCUUGAUUUCGGCUCAGGUCAUGAUCUUGCGGUUCAUGAGUUCGAGGCCCCCAUCAGGCUCUGUGCUGACAGUGCAGAGCCUGCUGGGGAUUCUCUCUUCCUUUCUCUCUGCCCUUCCCUUGCUUGUGUACACAUGUGCACUCUCUUGCUCGCUCUCUCUCUCUCUCUAAAAAAUAAAUAAACAUGAAAAAAACUUAACUGAAGAGUAACUGACAUACAAAAUUGUAUUCAUUUCAGGUAUACAACGCAGUGAUUAGAUAUAGAUGUACAAUAAGAAAUGGUCACCACAGUAAAGAGAGACAGAGCUCGAGCAGGGGAGGAACAGAGAGAGAGGGAGACACAGAAUCCGAAACAGGCUCCAGGCUCCGAGCUGUCGGCACAGAGCCCGACGCGGGGCUCGAACCCACGAACCGCGAGAUCAUGACCUGAGCCGAUGUCGGACGCUCGACCGACUGAGCCACCCAGGCGCCCCAAUCAUGUUCAUCUUUAAACUCCAUCCACCAAUUGGGCAAAGACUUAAUAAAAAUCCAGCUGCUCUA